UGGGGAAUUUUGGACAAUGGGCGAAAGCCUGAUUCAGCAAUGCCGCGUGUGUGAAGAAGGCCUUCGGGUUGUAAAGCACUUUUGUCCGGAAAGAAAUCCUUGGCUCUAAUACAGUCGGGGGAUGACGGUACCGGAAGAAUAAGCACCGGCUAACUACGUGCCAGCAGCCGCGGUAAUACGUAGGGUGCAAGCGUUAAUCGGAAUUACUGGGCGUAAAGCGUGCGCAGGCGGUUUGCUAAGACCGAUGUGAAAUCCCCGGGCUCAACCUGGGAACUGCAUUGGUGACUGGCAGGCUAGAGUAUGGCAGAGGGGGGUAGAAUUCCACGUGUAGCAGUGAAAUGCGUAGAGAUGUGGAGGAAUACCGAUGACGAAGGCAGCCCCCUGGGCCAAUACUGACGCUCAUGCACGAAAGCGUGGGGACGCAAACAGGAUUAGAUACCCUGGUAGUCCACGCCCUAAACGAUGUCAACUAGUUGUUGGGGGAUUCAUUUCCUUAGUAACGUAGCUAACGCGUGAAGUUGACCGCCUGGGGAGCACGGUCGCAAGAUUAAAACUCAAAUGAAUUGACGGGGUCAUAGCUGUUUCC
rnacentral:rRNA from 1 species